CAGUACGUGCACUGGAGGUGCACAAGGAGUUGGGAGGGACUACAGCUGAGACAGACGAUUAGUGUUUGGGCUCACCCGUGGCCAUGCCGUAUGGCUUUGUUCUUGGCAGUAAAAACUGAGGGAAAGGAGUAAUGGCGACGUUUGGGAUGGUAUUUAUCUCCCCAGAUAACCACUGGGCGUGAUGGAGACCUGCUUUCCUGGACAUGGCAGAAUACCUGCUGGGACAGACUGUGAGGACGGGUGUCUGGCAGCGCUCGCUGUGUGCGAGGGCAGCGCGGGUCGGGCCCGGCCCUGCUGAGGCGAGGCCCGGCCCGCACAGCCCAGCCCCGGGCCCGUGUCCCGGCCCCGCCGUGGCCGCCAGUCCCUGGCCCGCCCGAGGCCGGGCUCACACCCACCCUGGAGCCCCGGGCUGGCCUGGCCGUGGCCAAGUGACCGCAGGUCCCACCUGGGGGAAGGGCCCAGGAAGGCCAAAGGCUAUUUAAACCAAAUUCUGUGGCAAGCACACGUCCUGACCCUACCUCCUCUUGGAAAUUCUAUCGGCUGAACACCACUGGAACCAGCACUGGUUCUUUUGGAAUUCACAAUACCUUUGCAGGCACAGAGAGAGUGUUAUGUUGGAUGGAACUGUAAAAGUUUAGCUUGGAAUAUCUCUGGGGAAGAUGGUGGGGAGGCAGUCUUGGUUUUCUUGGAGGUGAAGAUAAAUAAUGGAUUGAUCCAGUUGUAUUCCAGUGAAAACAAACCUCAGGAAAUACAACUCUUCAGCUGUAAACAGUUCAACCUUGCAAGAAAUUUCUACUGGAACCUACUUUUCUAGUAGACCUGCAUCCUACAAAUGGACUGUUCUCCUCAGUGAAAUCAGUGGAACAAUUCAGUUUCAGUCUGUAACAGAAAACUGCUGUUAAGAAAUAAUUCAUUACAUUAUUGUUGUGUAACAGUUGCCAAGUUUGAAUCAAUGAAAAUGCUCAA